GGUCCACACCUGAAGAAUAUAUUCCCAAAUAAACAACAUGCCCCCACCGAAGGGUUACAAUUCCCUGAUGGUAGUA
rnacentral:tRNA from 1 species